rnacentral:rRNA from 1 species
GUGUCUCGAGAUGCACUCCAACCCCUGUGACAUACCACUUGUUGCCUCGGCGGAUCAGCCCGCUCCCGGUAAAACGGGACGGCCCGCCAGAGGACCCCUAAACUCUGUUUCUAUAUGUAACUUCUGAGUAAAACCAUAAAUAAAUCAAAACUUUCAACAACGGAUCUCUUGGUUCUGGCAUCGAUGAAGAACGCAGCAAAAUGCGAUAAGUAAUGUGAAUUGCAGAAUUCAGUGAAUCAUCGAAUCUUUGAACGCACAUUGCGCCCGCCAGUAUUCUGGCGGGCAUGCCUGUUCGAGCGUCAUUUCAACCCUCAAGCACAGCUUGGUGUUGGGACUCGCGUUAAUUCGCGUUCCUCAAAUUGAUUGGCGGUCACGUCGAGCUUCCAUAGCGUAGUAGUAAAACCCUCGUUACUGGUAAUCGUCGCGGCCACGCCGUUAAACCCCAACUUCUGAAUGUUGACCUCGGAUCAGGUAGGAAUACCCGCUGAACUUAAGCAUAUCAAGCCGGGGGGAGGAAG